rnacentral:rRNA from 1 species
GACGAACGCUGGCGGCGUGCUUAACACAUGCAAGUCGAACGGAAAGACCCUGCUUUUGUGGGGUGCUCGAGUGGCGAACGGGUGAGUAACACGUGAGUCACCUGCCCUUGACUUUGGGAUAACUUCAGGAAACUGGGGCUAAUACCGGAUAGGAGCUCCUGCUGCAUGGUGGGGGUUGGAAAGUUUCGGCGGUUGGGGAUGGACUCGCGGCUUAUCAGCUUGUUGGUGGGGUAGUGGCAUACCAAGGCUUUGACGGGUAGCCGGCCUGGGAGGGUGGCCGGCCACAUUGGGACUGAGAGACGGCCCAGACUCCUACGGGAGGCAGCAGUGGGGAAUAUGGCACAAUGGGCGGGAGCCUGAGGCAGCAACGCCGCGUGCGGGAUGACGGCCUUCGGGUUGUAAACCGCUUUCGCCUGUGACGAAGCGUGAGUGACGGUAAUGGGUAAAGAAGCACCGGCUAACUACGUG